rnacentral:lncRNA from 1 species
UAAUUCGUGUCCACAUUACACAAAUCAUCAUGCUCGGUAUACCGAACCCCAUCUGAGUCCACUAAAGAAACAAUGCGAUUAACUUUCUUUCUAAAAGAAGCUACAACAUGAAAAAAUCUAGUAUUCAAGUCACCGUCUUUGAGCCAAUGAGUUUUAGCUCGUUGACGCCAAAAAGCAUCAUCCUGCACUAAUAAAUGAUUAAUUUGAUUCCUUAGAGC